rnacentral:rRNA from 1 species
CCUACGGGAGGCAGCAGUGAGGAAUAUUGGUCAAUGGGCGUAAGCCUGAACCAGCCAAGUCGCGUGAGGGAUGAUGGUUCUAUGGAUCGUAAACUUCUUUUAUAAGGGAAUAAAGUGCGGGACGUGUGGAGAUUUGCAUGUACCUUAUGAAUAAGGAUCGGCUAACUCCGUGCCAGCAGCCGCGGUAAUACGGAGGAUCCGAGCGUUAUCCGGAUUGAUUGGGUUUAAAGGGUGCGUAGGCUGUCUUUUAAGUCAGCGGUGAAAGUGUGUGGCUCAACCCACAAAUUGCCGUUGAAACUGGGAGGCUUGAGUGUGUUUGAGCCAGCCGGCAUGCGUGGUGUAGCGGUGAAAUG